ACUUUAACCCACUUAGGGGAACUUGUCCUUUAAUUCGAUAAUCCACGACAAUCUUAUUUAUUUUAGAACACUUCAGCUUGUAUACCGUCGUCACAAGUUAACCUUAAAGAGAAUAAAAGUUAACAAUAAAAAUUAAGAUAAAGGUCUUUUCUUAGGUCAGAUCAAGGUGCAGCUAAUAAAUAAAGACAGAGAUGAGUUACAAUUAAUAAAUUUUAUAUGGAAUUUUCAUAGAAAAAUGAAAAAGAAACAGGACUUAAAAGUAAUUAAUAAAAACAAAUGUUAAUGAAUAAGGUAAUAAAGUGUGC
rnacentral:rRNA from 1 species